GCUGGGGCCGCCGUCGGGCCUUCUCCCUCCAGGGGCCCAAGAGCCACUGGUACUCAGUGUCUGGGUGGGGGCAGGGGGGAUUUUUGUUCUCCCAGCACCUGCGGCUGUUGAGACCAGAGAAGCUGGUGGUCGACCACAGCCUGGGGUAUUAGUUCACCCCUAGCUUCUCCCCAGCGAGACCCCAGGGCCCUUGGGCACAGGGGAUUAAGCCUCUAUCUGCUUACGUGCAAGCGGAAGAAAUAGGCCCAGAGAGCAACAGUGGCGGGUCUGCAGUCACACAGCCAACUUGCGCUUGUGGCAGUGGCAAGGUUGGUGAGUAUCUGAGUCUUCAGGCCACGGCAUUUUCCGCUCGAGUGGAGCCUGGAAGCUGGUUCAGUGGGGCUGUCGACCACAGGUACCAACCCUGCCCUCCCCUACAGAGUAUGUGACGUAGGCACAGCCAAUGACUGCAUCCCAGUGCUUCGACCAGUCACAGGGUCAAGGGUGCAGUGGCUCACACCUGUAAUCCCAGCACUUUGGAGUCCCAAGCAGGCAGAUCGCCUGAAGUCGGGAGUUUGAGACCAGCCUGGGUGAAACCCCAUCUCUAAUAAAAGUAC
rnacentral:lncRNA from 1 species